rnacentral:rRNA from 1 species
CAGUAGCGUAUAUUAAAGUUGUUGCAGUUAAAAAGCUCGUAGUUGGAUUUCUGGUUGACACAUCUGACCCGCCUGGGUUUCAUCCUGGGUGCUGUGUCGGUCUGUGUCUACCAUCCUUGUAGAAAGUUUAUCUACCCUUCACUGGGCCGGAUUUGUCGAUCUACAUCAUUUACUUUGAAGAAAUUAGAGUGUUCAAAGCAGGCUCGCGCUAUGAAUACAUUAGCAUGGAAUAAUAAUUUAGGACUUGGAUCCUAUUUUGUUGGUUUCUAGGAUUUAAGUAAUGAUUGAUAGGGACAGUUGGGGGUGCUAGUAUUCAGCGGCCAGAGGUGAAAUUCUUGGAUUCGCUGAAGACUAACUUAUGCGAAAGCAUUCACCAAGGAUGUCUUCUUUAAUCAAGAACGAAAGUUGGGGGAUCGAAGAUGAUCAGAUACCAU